GCCGCGGCGGGGAGCCUUCGGGGGGCAGUUUCGGGAAACCGUCUCAGGAGCGCCGGCAAUGAGCACGGCGCAGGCGGGGAGCUGCAAAGUCGGAGUCGAGGGUGAUAGGCCGGACGCCUUCCGCGGAUCGCCGGCCCUGGAGUGCCCAAAGCAGUUCCCCAGGCCGGGGCGGGGAGCGGGAAAACAAACAGGCUGGUAACGGAGGAGACUGGACUUAAUUCUACGUUUAGAAAUUAGAAUAUACUUCAUUCCACACAUCUAUCCAGCACCUUACCAUGUGCCAGGAACCAUUUCAGGCACAGAGGGUGCCUCAGUGAACCAAGAGAAGCACAAACAUGUCCGCCCUCAUGGGCUGUGAAUGGCUGACACAGUAAAUACCUACUGGGACAUGUAAAUUAGGAAGUCUACGCUCAUUUUAUGAAUUCACAGGAGAAUCGCCUGAGUGAUCAGAAAGUAAAGUUUUCUCAGAACUGUGUUUGUUGCGAUUUGGGUUAAAAUUUCCCCAUAUAGGAUCAUUUGGAUCCGAAGACUAGAAAAAUGACACUUGAUGAGAAGGAGAAAAUUAACGAUGGGAAAGGGAGGGACAACAGAGGAAAGAGAUGCUACAAUAUACAGUUCAAGAAGAAAGUACUUCAGUUUUCUGGAAAAGUAGCUGGAGAAAGAGGGAUAAUAAGAGGAAUUUUGAGAUACUGUUAAUGCUGCUUCUUUCAUGUGCUCCAGCCACAUGUUCAAGAAACACUUGAUGGGAGACGAGUGAGGAAGAAAUUAUAAGAAAUUAAAGGGUACCUGAAGAGUUUGGUCAAAUGACAAGGAGGCCUUAGAAGAAAAUAAUUAUGAGCCACUAGAUAGGUCACAAGGUAAAAUUAUAGUGGUGCCUGGCUAAAAUGUUGUGAUUCUGAACUUACUUGCCUGUACAAAUCACUCAUUUCUCUGAACAUUAUACUCCACCUAAUGUAACUUGCAUCAACAGGGCUAGGUAUUUUUCAUGUGCGAACAUUUUGUAUCCUAUUCUGAGUGUGAAUCUGCUUGGAAUGCAAAUAAAAUCUGCACUUACAACAGA